rnacentral:rRNA from 1 species
AGCAGCCGCGGUAAUUCCAGCUCCAAUAGCGUAUAUUAAAGUUGUUGCAGUUAAAAAGCUCGUAGUUGAAUUUCGGGAUCGAAUUGUUGGUCGUGCUUCGGUACGCACUGGCAUUAUCGGUUUCUACCUUCUGAAGAACCGCGAUGUCAUUAAUUUGGUGUCGUGGGGAAUCAGGACUGUUGCUUUGAAAAAUUAGAGUGUUUAAAGCAGGCUUACGCUUGAAUACAUUAGCAUGGAAUAAUGAAAUAGGACGUUUGAUUCUAUUUUGUUGGUUUCUAGGAUCGACGUAAUGAUUAAUAGGGAUAGUUGGGGGCAUUAGUAUUCAAUUGUCAGAGGUGAAAUUCUUGGAUUUAUUGAAGACUAACUACUGCGAAAGCAUUUGCCAAGGAUGUUUUCAUUAAUCAAGAACGAAAGUUAGGGGAUCGAAGACGAUCAGAUACCGUCGUAGUCUUAACCAUAAACUAUGCCGACUAGGGAUCGGAUGAUGUUAAUUUUUAAUGACUCAUUCGGCGCCUUAAC